rnacentral:rRNA from 1 species
UACGUAGGUGGCAAGCGUUGUCCGGAAUUAUUGGGCGUAAAGCGCGCGCAGGCGGCCGAGUAAGUCUGACGUUAAAGCCCGGGGCUCAACCCCGGUCCGCGUUGGAAACUGCUUGGCUUGAGUGCAGGAGAGGAAAGCGGUAUUCCACGUGUAGCGGUGAAAUGCGUAGAGAUGUGGAGGAACACCAGUGGCGAAGGCGGCUUUCUGGCCUGUAACUGACGCUGAGGCGCGAAAGCGUGGGGAGCAAACAGG